AUUUUUCAGAGUGGCACUUGAGUCUUGCGUUACUAACACAAUGGAUACGAGUUUUUUUCAGUGGGACUAGAGUUAAGGCAGUAGAUUAUAAAAAUUCACCAUGGAUGUAAACAUCACCUGUGUUCUAGGAGAAAUAUUAAAGAUAAUAUACCAAACUUCCCAGGUCUUUUUUUUGCUUUAUAUAAAAUGCUUACAAAUUCAAAUGUAACUCAUAUUUAGCAGUAAAAUCCCUUUCUUCGAAUUAACUGCUACCUGUGUUGUGAGUUCAAGAAGCCAUUUACUGCCUAGAAUAUUAACUCUGAAGCCUUAAAGUGCAUUCGUGAAAUAUCGGUUUUCAUGUAAACUUCAUAAUUUGAAAUGUUAAUGUUUAAAUUAAGUAGUUUACCAUUGUCAAUACCACUUACAAACAGCAGCUCCAAUAUAGAAAGUUAGAUCAAAGUGAGAAGUGAAGAUUCACAGUUUACCUUCCUAGGUUUGUUAUUAUUUCACCUUGGUGCCUUUUAGCUUUGAAUGCUUUACAGAUGAAUUCAAGUC